rnacentral:tRNA from 1 species
GACCCGGUGGCCUAAUGGGUAGCGCGCUGGACUACAGACCGCGCGGUCUGGGUUCGAGCGCUGGCCUGGGUCA